CUCUAUUCAACCUCACUCUAGUUGGACAGCCAGAAAGCUAGCACUGUGGUUCCCAGACUGCUUGGCUAGGGAUCUGGAUGUGAAUGCAGUUCUGCCGAUGAGAUGCUUCCAUGCAAGAUGGAUUCUCACCCUGCCACCCAGGCUGGAGCACGAUCUCAGCUCACUGCAACCCAAGCGAUUCUCCUGCCUCAGCCUCCUGAGUAGCUGGGAUUACAGGCAUCCACCACCACACCCAGCUAAUACUGUGGCUGCAACUUUAACAAGGACUUAUCAUCAAGAAUCCUAACAACAGGAAUCCUCAAACCUGAUCCAUGCUUAAGUUGUGGCUGGAGAAAAUCAAGUUCUCUGGAAAGAACAUCCUGG
rnacentral:lncRNA from 13 species